GGGUAGCUCAGUUGGUAGAGCAAAGGACUGAAAAUCCUUGUGUCGGUGGUUCGAGUCCGCCUCCG
rnacentral:tRNA from 1 species